CCUACGGGAGGCUGCAGUGGGGAAUAUUGGACAAUGGGCGAAAGCCUGAUCCAGCCAUGCCGCGUGUGUGAAGAAGGCCUUCGGGUUGUAAAGCACUUUCAGUGGGGAAGAAAGCCUUGGGGCUAAUGCCCUCGAGGAAGGACAUCACCCACAGAAGAAGCACCGGCUAACUCCGUGCCAGCAGCCGCGGUAAUACGGAGGGUGCGAGCGUUAAUCGGAAUUACUGGGCGUAAAGCGCGCGUAGGCGGUCUGAUAAGCCGGUUGUGAAAGCCCCGGGCUCAACCUGGGAACGGCAUCCGGAACUGUCAGGCUAGAGUGCAGGAGAGGAAGGUAGAAUUCCCGGUGUAGCGGUGAAAUGCGUAGAGAUCGGGAGGAAUACCAGUGGCGAAGGCGGCCUUCUGGACUGACACUGACGCUGAGGUGCGAAAGCGUGGGUAGCAAACAGGAUUAGAUACCCCAGUAGUC
rnacentral:rRNA from 1 species